CGGCGAGUGAAGCGGCAACAGCUCAAAUUUGAAAUCUGGCCCCCAGGGUCCGAGUUGUAAUUUGCAGAGGAUGCUUUUGGCAAGGUGCCUUCCGAGUUCCCUGGAACGGGACGCCAUAGAGGGUGAGAGCCCCGUCUGGUUGGAUACCGAGCCUCUGUAAAGCUCCUUCGACGAGUCGAGUAGUUUGGGAAUGCUGCUCUAAAUGGGAGGUAUAUGUCUUCUAAAGCUAAAUAUUGGCCAGAGACCGAUAGCGCACAAGUAGAGUGAUCGAAAGAUGAAAAGCACUUUGAAAAGAGGGUUAAAUAGUACGUGAAAUUGUUGAAAGGGAAGCGCUCAUGACCAGACUUGGGCCCGGUGAAUCAUCCAGCGCUCGUCGCUGGUGCACUUUGCCGGGCUCAGGCCAGCAUCAGUUCGCUCCGGGGGACAAAGGCUCUGGGAAUGUGGCUCCUCCGGGAGUGUUAUAGCCCACUGCGCAAUACCCUGGGGCGGACUGAGGUUCGCGCAUUCGUGCAAGGAUGCUGGCGUAAUGGUCAUCAGUGACCCGUCUUGAAACACGGACCAAGGAGUCGU
rnacentral:rRNA from 1 species